rnacentral:rRNA from 1 species
GACGAACGCUGGCGGCGUGCUUAACACAUGCAAGUCGAACGGAAAGGCCCUGCUUUUGUGGGGUGCUCGAGUGGCGAACGGGUGAGUAACACGUGAGUAACCUGCCCUUGACUUUGGGAUAACUUCAGGAAACUGGGGCUAAUACCGGAUAGGAGCUCCUGCUGCAUGGUGGGGGUUGGAAAGAUUCGGCGGUUGGGGAUGGACUCGCGGCUUAUCAGCUUGUUGGUGGGGUAGUGGCUUACGAAGGCUUUGACGGGUAGCCGGCCUGGGAGGGUGACCGGCCACCUUGGGACUGAGAUACGGCCCAGACUCCUACGGGAGGCAGCAGUGGGGAAUAUUGCACAAUGGGCGGAAGCCUGAUGCGGCAACGCCGCGUGCGUGAUGACGGCCUUCGGGUUGUAAACCGCUUUCGCCUGUGACGAAGCGUGAGUGACGGUAAUGGGUAAAGAAGCACCGGCUAACUACGUG